AGUUGAAAUGAUUGCAGGAUUAGGAUGGAAUGGGGAGUGCUUGCUCAAUCUUUUCCUACAGUCUCUCACACAGUUCCCUCUGAAUAGAAGCUUCCAUUGGCGAUCUUAAUCCAUAAUCCCACUUGCUUCACUCAUGGUGGAAGUUGGGAUGACAGCUACCAUCUCUGCAGUGAGCUAUCAAGUUGGCCGGAUGCUGCCCCAGUUGCAUUGCACACAUUGUACACUACAAUAGCAGAAACUACGGAUUGUUUGAUGUCAAAAGAAUGACUUAAAUGAAGGCAGUGAGAGAGAGGCUGCAUGGUAAUACUCUUGCUGGCAUUUCGAGUAACCUUCAUGGAAGGAUAUUCUCCAAUUCAUCUGAUGGCCAUGCAGAGCUCCAAUCGAGUUCAACUGAUCAAUAGAAAUGCUGUUUUUACCAUCAGAAUUGUGAGACCUGAAUUCUGCAGAUGCCUAUAAUUAAAGAUCCAAGAAUUUCAUGUCGUAAUGACAUCUGAUAACCAGAAAAGGCAGUCAAAUAGAAACAAGGAUAUUUGUAAGAAAAAAGAAAUAUUACUGUUCUUCAUGGACAAGAUGAUGCAGAUGACUGCAAGAACACAUUCUGUUGGAGAUUUAAAUGAAUGAAGAUGGUUCCACCAUGGGAUUAAUUCUAUCCAAAUCUUUAUCUGAGUAACUGUGACUGGUUCUUGAGUUCUGUUUUGUUUUGAGUUUUUGUGUGGGUACUUUUUGAUUCUAGAUGUGCAUGACUCUGCAACAGUGGCUUCAUUGCUCAUCCUGGAUGAGCAUCCUUCAUGUGCAGUUGACAUACAAAUGCAAGCAUUUGGCAACAUCUAGCUUCUUUUCAAAGAAAAGAAAAAUGAUAUGCCUGAUAAUGAUACAGAAUGCAGUUCCUGAAUGUUGUGCUCUAUGAACUUGAGGCCUUGAUGAAAGAGCAAAACUCCAGAAAAAAUGUCAUGCAGAGAAAGGCAAACUGAUAUCGAAAAACAAGGACCAGAUUCUUUUUUGUCUUUGCAGAUGAAUUCAUUGAGUGUUGAAUGGAGGAGGGACAGGUGAAAAGAGAAGCAGACAAAGGAAGUAGAGCAUUAUUGGGGAGACCAUGCUCAUAAAGAACACAGAACAUGAAAGCCAAAACCAAAGGGUAAUAACAGAAGCUAUUUUUUAUUACUAUUAAUUUUUUCCACCAAUGAGGCUGCUCAUGAUGUUACAAAAAGUCAACGCUAGAAGAGAAAGAAAGGGUAAAAAGUCAUCAUCCUUUUGUGGUAAGUAUUUAUAAGUCAAUCAAAGAUCAUUUCUCCUUAAUAUAAGACACUAGCAUUUUGAUCAUGUCUCUUUAUAUUGUGGAAGACCUCAUGUACUGCAUACAUGAAAAACUACUACAAUCUUCAAGAAAAUCCUCACUCGUAUAAACCUUUUAGGCCUUAAUAUUCCGAUCUAAAACUUAAUCCUCUCAAAAGAAACCCUUCUGCAUCCUCAGAUAGAGAAUUCUAAGUAUAUGUUUUCCUGUUAUCUUGAAUAUAGCAUAUUUUCUCAUAAUUAGUGAUGCACGUACCUAUCAUUAGCAUUCCUUCCUCCCAAUCCAGCUAACUACUGAACAAAUCAUCAUCACACAUGAGUUGUGUUAAGUCCUAAGUAUCUGUGUCCAAACAAGCAUGCAGCAGGAGUUCAU